rnacentral:lncRNA from 1 species
AUUGUUUUUCCUUUAUCUAGUAAAAUAAUUCUUUCCUGAUCAGUUGUAACAAAGCAAUUUCAACCUUUUUUUACUUCACAAUAUCUUUAAAAAUGUCUCAUUUUAUUCCAACAACAUAUGUCAUAUUUCUUGUUGUUUGUUUUAUGUUUUUUGAACCUUGCGCCCAUGCAAGAAAUUUUAAUUCUCCGGGCAUCGAAAAUGUCAAUCCAUUCACAUCAACAAUGAAAGUCGCAGAAGAAAACAUUAAGAAGAAUGUUCCUAAAAGAGAAAAUGGUUAUACAACGGCUAGUAUAAUCCAUGGAAAUUAUGCAAGUGGACCCGAUCCGAGUGGAAGAGGACAUGGUAGACCGCCAACUCCACCACACCAUUGAAAAACAAUCGUUUGAACUGUACAUGGUGGAUAUAAUGUGAAUUAGAUAAUAAUAAUUAAUAAUUAAUAAAAAGUUGUGAAAGUUGGAUUUUGUUCAUAUAUAAUGAAAUCAAAUAAUAAACCAACUGAAAAUAAAGAAAACAAAUAAUACAUUUAACAAUAGAAAUUAUUGUGUAUAUUUUAUAGUUAUACAGAAAAUGCAAACAUCAAAAUUUAAUUUGAACCAAACGAAAAUUAAGAUUAUCAAAAUUGAUCAGAUAGUUGUUUUUUCCCCUCUCAAACUCAAUCAAACUGAAAUUAAUAUCAACCCAUUUUUAAAUUAAAACAAGGUUUAAAAACCUUUUCACUAGUUAAUAUAAAAUACCUAAAUUUUUAUAAAAAUAAUUAUGUUAAACUAGACACGAUUGGAAAAGGCAAAUCGAUUGCGAAAACAACAUAAAUAAUAUCCGUGGACAAAAUUAGAACACCAUAUGCAAACUUGUUCAUCAUUGUAUUUUUUUCUUGAUAUAUGUUGAAUCACAAAUCUUAGAAAAAUCAUCGCUAAAAUUCUUCAGAGUAAGCCGAUCACUAUAUUGAUAACACCAUAUUUACCAGUUCAGAAAAACCUAUUACAAAAACUAAAUCAAAAUCUUUAGGGGGCCCCUAUAUAUAAAAUUGUGAUCAAUUAUUUAAGGAUAUUUUUUGUUCUCUUAGUUUCUUUUGUAUGAAUCCUCUAAACAUUAUUUGCAAAGUGAUUUUGACACAUGUCUUCUCUACAAUCAUUUUAACCAAAUAAAUAUGACAUGACAUGCUACAAUUAUGACAUGACUUAUGAUUAAAUGUGACAUGAACAAUUACAUUGAAUGCUUAUUUAUAUUUUUGGUAAACUCUUUAGAAUAUAUGGUAGUAAAUUAUACACUAUCAUUAAAGUAAAUCUAUUAAAGUAUGAUAUUAAAUAAUAUAACAAUAAAAUUAUAAUUAUAUUUUAUAAAUUCUGAAAUAUUAUUUAUUUCUAAUUUUGAAUAAUUAUACAAUUUAUAACUAAAAAGAAUUCCAAAAUCUUUUACAAUUUUUUUUUAAAUUAUAAUUUUUUUAUCGUAAUAUUAUUAGUUUCUAUUAUAUACCAUUUUACUAUUGAUAAUUAUAAAACUUGUAUAUCAUUUUUAUUAAUUUUAUACAAUUUAAUUUAAUAUAUUUUAUCCAAAAGAAAUAGAUAAAAUUCUAUUUCAUAUUAUUAUUUUAAAUAUAUACAUAUCUAUUCUUAGAUAUAAUUUAAAAUAAACAAAAUUAUUUAUUUUAACUUAAUUUUGUGUUCGGUUGAAAUAUUAUUAAGACAUAAUAAAAUUUAAAAAAUAAUAAACUUUAUUUUAAAAAUAAUUUUAAUUUAAAAUUUUUAUUCCUGCACAUUGGUGCUUUUAAACAGUAUAAACUUUAAUAAUUUAAUUUUAUCUUAACUAAUAAAGAAAUACAAUUCAUAUAACAAAAUUAUAGUCUAUUUUACAUAUCUUUAAUAUUUGAAUGGUUUAGGAGAUAAACUUUAAAUAAUAUAACUAGUAGUGUUUCUCUUCUUCCUCUACAAAUUAGCCCCUAAAGGGUUAUUAGACCCUUUUGGAGAUUUUAAAUAGAGGUUUUGGUUUUCACAUGCGAUGAGAUUGCGAUGCCGAAGGCGACUUAGAUCUAGGGUUUCGAUGCGGUUUCGGGGAUGGGAUGUGGGGAGACUAAGGGAUGGAUUGGAGCGGGUUUUUCCUGAUCUUCACCAGGAUAAUGGUUUUGGAAAGCAAAGGAAUGGGAACGGCGAUCUACAGCGAGAAGAUCGAACAAGAUUCAUGGGUUUUAAUGGAAACAGUGGAUUACUCGGGCCUGGGUUUUAGGGCGUUUUACGGAUAGAAUCGAUCUAUGGUUAUCUCAGGUCUCCAAUUGGUGAUCUCCCAGAUUUUCAAGGUAUGAUUUGGUGUCUAUUCUUUAGGAGAUCGUUUUGGAUUGGCUGGGGGUUUCCACAAAGGAAUCACCGAUAUUUGAGAAUUGAUGAUUGGAAAGCCAGGAUUUGGUUUCUUAUUCUCAUCAGAAUCAACGAGAUGUUCGAAGAUUUCUCAGAUGAAUUUCAAGAUCUCUCGGAAGGUGAGAUCGAGGAAAAGGACAAGGAAUGCAUUAAGAUACUGUCUGGUGAAGAUUUCUUAAGUGAGAAUGCUGAGGAAGAUAACCAGAUUGGAGAUAAGGAAGAUAAAGGCCCAGUUACGCUGGAAAUGGACAAAGAGCAGGGGGCUAGGAUGAUGCUGUUUAAGAGCCAGAAUGUAGCAGGUGGAACCAUGAAGAAGAGAAUGGUACAAGGGCUAGUAUCUCCUCGCAAACGUCCUUCGGCUAAAGCGGGUAUCCGACAAGGUGAUGGUUUUAAAAAGGUAGAAGAGACGGUCCCUCAAACCCUUUACCGAGCUCAUCAAAACCCUGAUUUUAUGGAUCGAUCCUUUGAAGAAGAGAAGCUAUGGUGGCAGAUACUGAGAGAGCAGAUGUCCAGAGGCUAUUACCGUUGGUUUCGAUCGGUCUGUUUGGUCAUCAGAAGAUACAUGGAAAAGCUGAAAUACUGGUCUUCAGUGGAGGAAAAUAUUUUUCUCUUGGCCUCAUUAAGCCACAAGUGAAGUCAAACCUUGUUCCUAUAUUGGAAUAAUAAAAAUGUAAGGUGUCCGAAUGGUGAAUGGGAGUUUAAUUGUGGUGUCUCAUUGGUCACAAUUAAUUACCAAAGGAAAGACAGAGAGUGUCGAGGAUAUGGGGUGAAUAAUCAGACUCAGGGGUACGUGAGUCUCACGUCAAAAUUAAUGAUGGUUUAUAAAUGUUUUGGACACUUAUGGUUUCUUCGUAUCCAGCUGUAUUGCUCAACAUAGCUAAUCAGUAUAAAUUUGAGGCGGCUUCUCUGCUGGAAUAAUAGAUGUAUGGGUCGUAAAUGGACGAUAAUUUAUCUUAGGGAGAUCUGGUACAAACAUAAACCAGACUUUUUAUAUUUAUCAGAAACGGAAAAAGAUACAACUUUUGUUGCUUUUUAUGCUUCUUGUAUCUCUCUUUGGAUAUGGUUGAUAUGGACUGUGAAAGACUUGGUAAUGUAUUGGUAUAUAUUUAGGUGGAGGGAGAGAUAUUGGUCUUUGGAUGACUUUGCAAGCAUAUCAAGUCUCCAUAUUAAUGCAGCCAAAUCGUCCUAAUAUGCACCAGGAAGUGGAAUAGCUAACGUAUGUGAGGAAGCUGAGAGAGCUGGAAUUGAAGUGGGACAGCUUCCGAUCAGAUACAUGGGUCUGCCAUUGACUUCAAAGGCUCUUUCUAAGGAGGAUUAUGAGCCUUUGAUAGAUAAAAUCAGAACUCGAAUUCUGUCGUGGACCAACAAGAGCUUAUCUUAUGCAGGGCGCUUGCAGCUUCUCAACUCAGUCAUCUCCAGCAUAGUGAGCUUCUGGAGCUCUGCUUUUAUAUAUUACCUAUGGCCUGUUUGGAUACAAUAGAGAGCCUCUGCAGUGCAUUUAUAUGGGCAGGAGAUCCUCAUCAGACCCAUAAGGCGAAAGUUAAAUGGGAAGACUUGUGUUAUCCAAAAUCAGAGGGAGGAUUGGGCAUUCGGAGACUGCAAGAUACUGUUAGAGUCUUUGCUCUUAGUCUGAUAUGGCAAUUUUUUAAUAUGUCAGACUCACUAUGGGUUUCAUGGGUUCAACAUUAUCUUUUGCAUCAUAGUUCAUUCUGGGAUGUUCGGGAAGAGACAACAGGUUCCUGGAUAUGGAGGAAACUCCUUAAGUUGUGUCCUCUGGCCUAUCAGUUCAUCAGGGUGGAAGUUGGUAAUGGUGAGAAAGCUUUCUUUUGGCAUGAUGAUUGGUUGCGAAUCAGGAAACUUAUUGAGUUAACAGGAGCAACUGGCACAAGGUAUCUAGGAAUAGUUCGUAGUGCUCGGGUGUGUGAUGCUGUGGCUCAAGGCCAAUGGAGAGUGAGGGGACAGAGAAGCCGGCAUUUCCAAGAUUUACAUGCCAAAAUACAAGCAGAACCGGUACCUAAUCAGUGCAUGGGAGAGGAUAGGUUUCUAUGGAGGCACGAAACAGAGGUUUAUAAGGACUCUUACUCAGCUUCAAGAACAUGGGAACAGCUUCGACGCAAGAAAGAAGAAGUGAAUUGGAGUAGUAGUGUGUGGUUCAAACAAGGUGUUCCUCGGUUUGCAUUUAUUGUGUUGCUUGCUAUUCAGAAUAGGCUCUCUACGGGAGACAGAAUGAGGCAGUGGAGAAUUCAGCAAGGUUGUGUCCUUUGUGGAGAGAGAGAUAAGACGCGCGAUCACUUGUUUUUCGCUUGUCCUUACUCUUAUACCGUCUGGGAUAGAGUCGUUGGCAAGCUUAUAGGACGGAGAAUCAAUCCUGACUGGUCUGAUAUGCUCAGAUAUAUUCGAAAUGGAGCAGCCAAUCUUAAGAAUCAGGUGCUCAUCAGUUUGCUCUUUCAAGUGGUGGUUUAUCAUAUCUGGCGUGAACGCAAUCUAAGGAGAAAUCAACAAGGCCAGAAGGGGACUGAGCUGAUGAUUAGUACAAUCAAUAAGACAGUAAAAAAUAGGAUCUCUUCUUUGGGUUAUGAGGCAGAUCAUAGAUUGGAAGGACUUCUUCGGAGAUGGUUCGAGGUUUUUGAUUGAGUUUGGAGCAUGGAGCUUGGACAAUGGAGCUAUUAACACAAAUUUUCUUUUCUUCCUACAUAUAGAUAUAAGAACCAUUAUUCCUUUUUAGGUUUCAUUCUUUGUAAAUCCUUUUAGUUGAUGAUCAAUAAAUCAAAAUUUCAUCAAAAAAAAAAAUAAUUCAUUAAGGAUAAGAAAGAGUUUAACCGCUUUAACUUAUGAUGUGGGAUCUCGAAUGCGAGAAAUCACUUCACAAAUAUAAAAAAAAAAUCAUCGUUAAUAUUCUUCAGAGUAAUCCGAUCACUAUAUUGAUAAUGCCAUAUCUACCAGUUCAGAAAAUUAUAUUUCAAAAACUAAAUCAAAAUCUUUAGGGGGGCCUAUAUAGAAAACUGCAAUCAAAUUUUUUAGGAUAUUCUUUGUUCUCUUAUUUUCUUUUGUAUGAAUUAACUAAUAAAGAAAUACAAUUCAUAUAACAAAAUCUUAGUCUAUUUUACAUAUCUUUAAUAUUUGAAUGGUUUAGGAGAUAAACUUUAAAUAAUAUGUCGAGUAUUUUCAAUGGUAAAUAAUUGAUAAAACUUAUAAUAAUAUGUCGAGUAUUUUCUAUAGGAAAUAAUUUACAUUGGUUCUAAGGAUUGAAAGUUUUCAGUUAUUGGUAGAUUUUAGGACCUUCCAAAUCUUAUAGGGGUACGUAUUUUAUGUUCUUGAUCCUGUUUUCCCAAGAGUUUUUAAGUGCUAUUUUCUUCGGCUUAGAUUUUAACCAAAGUAAACCAACUCUGUCUUUUGAUUUUGGCUUGCACUGCAUUGAAAAUGGGUCUAAACCGGCUAGAAAUGAAAGUUGCAUUGAGCUUGUGAAUAAUAACAUUGUGGGUUUCGAAAGAUGUUAAAAAGUCUAAACCGUUUGCGCAAAUUACACUUUAGAAGCUAAACUAACAAUUAACCAAAUAUAUCACUAUUCUUAUGAAAUAUAGACAUUGAAAAUAAGCUUUUGGUUGAUAUCCAAAGCAUUUUCAAGAGGAAGUAUCAUAAAAUAUUAAAAAUAGAAAUCAAACGCAAACACUUUUUCAUAAAUUAAUGACCAUACAUUUUUUUUGGUUAUGAAAUGGAAUGUUCUAACUAUUAACAUUAAAAUUUACUUAAGAAUUUAAUAAAUUAAUUUGCUUGGAUAAUCAAUUUGUUUCUUUUGAUAUAAUGUGAUCUUCAAUAUUUUGAAUAAUUAAUUAUUUGCUUACAUUAUUUACAAAUUGAUUACUUAUGUCACAUGUUUACAAUCGUAUCUUGUCACAUGCUUACAAUCGUAUCAUGUCACAAGUUUAAAAUCGUAUCACAAAACAAAUUUAACAAGCUUUAAAAAAAUGAUAUGUUUUUAACAAAACAUGAUAAGUCAUAUUAUUUUAAUAAUUUUCAUUUUCUAGUACAAUAAUUCUUGCAAAACCUCGCUAUAGACACAUGAACUCCUUAGUUAAUUGUUUUUAAUUAGUUAAAUUAAUAAAGGAAAUCACAGUCCUCAAAAUAUUAAUUAAACUAAAAUUAAUUAAAUUAAUUAACUAGUAUUUUCAAAAUAUUAGUUUUGCUUAUUAGUUUUAGUUAAUUAAAUAACUGAAAACAUCUUACAAAAUAACUACUUAAAAUGCUUAAAGCUUGCUAACUAAAAAUAAGUGUAUUAUUUAAUAUUACUAAAUUUUGUUUUAAUUAGUUAAGGAGAUAAUUUAAAUCAUAUUCUUAGCAAUAAAAAACUAAUUAAAGCUUUAUUAUUUAAUUAAUUAAUAUUUCUAAUAUUUGUUUUAGUUUUUAGCUUAAAUUAAUUAUGAAAAUCAUAUGUGUCUUGAAAUUUUGUAGGGAUUUGGUUUUUAAAAAUAACAUUCUUAAAAAAUUAUGACAUACCAUCUUUUAAAACAAUAUGCCAAUUCCAACAACAUAUGUCAUAUUUCUUGUCGUUUGUUUUAUGUGUUUUGAACCUUGCGCCCAUGCAAGAAAUUUUAAUUCUCCGGGCAUCGAAAAUGUCAAUCCAUUCACAUCAACAAUGAAAGUCGCAGAAGAAAACAUUAAGAAGAAUGUUCCUAAAAGAGAAAAUGGUUAUACAACGGCUAGUAUAAUCUAUGGAAGUUAUGCAAGUGGACCCGAUCCGAGUGGAAGAGGACACGGUAGACUGCCAAAUCCACCACACCAUUGAAAAACAAUCGUUUGAACUGUACAUGGUGGAUAUAAUGUGAAUUAGAUAAUAAUAAAUAAUUAAUAAAAAGUUGUGAAAGUUGGAUUUUGGUCAUAUAUAAUGGAAUCAAAUAAUAAACCAACUGAAAAUAAAGAAAACAAAUAAUACAUUUAACAAUGGAAAUUAUCUGUAUAUUUUAUAGUUAUACAAAAAAUGCAAACAUCAAAAUUUAAUUUGAACCAAACGAAAAUUAAGAUUAUCAAAAUUGAUCAGAUUUGGAUUAGUUGUUUUCCCUCUGAAACUCAAUCAAACUGAAACUAAUAUCAACCCAUUUUCAAAAUUAAAAAAGGUUUAAAAACUUUUUCACUAGUUAAUAUCAAAUACCUAUAUUUUUAUAAAAACAAUUAUGUUAAACUAGACACGAUUGGAAAAGACAAAUCGAUUGCGAAAACAACAUAAAUCAUAUCCGUGGACAAAAUUAGAACACCAUAUGCCGAUAUAUGUUGAUAUAUGUUGAACUUGUUCAUCAUUGUAUUUUUUUCUUGAUAUAUGUUGAAUCACAAAUCUUAAAAAAAUCAUCGCUAAAGUUCUUCAGAGUAAGCCGAUCACUAUAUUGAUAACACCAUAUUUACCAGUUCAGAAAAGUCUAUUGCAAAAACUAAAUCAAAAUAUUUAGGGGGCCCCUAUAUAUAAAACUGCGAUCAAUUUUUUAAGGAUAUUUUUUGUUCUCUUAGUUUCUUUUGCAUGAAUCCUCUAGACAUUAUUUGCAAAGUGAUUUUGACACAUGUCUUCUCUACAAUCAUUUUCACCAAAUAAAUAUGACAUGGCAUGCUACAAUUAUGACAUGAUUUAUGAUUAAAUGUGACAUGGACAAUUACAUUGAAUGAUUAUUUAUAUUUUUGGUAAACUCUUUAGAAUAUAUGGUAGUAAAUUAUACACUAUCAUUAAAGUAAAUCUAUUAAAUUAUGAUAUUAAAUAAUAUAACAAUAAAAUUAUAAUUAUAUUUUAUAAAUUCCGAAAUAUUAUUUAUUUCUAAUUUUGAAUAAUUAUACAAUUUAUACCUAAAAUGAAUUCCAAAAUCUUUUACAAUUUUUUUUAAAAUUAUAAUUUUUUAUCGUAAUAUUAUUAGUUUCUUUUAUAUAUCGUUUUACUAUUGAUAAUUAUACAACUUGGCUGGGGGUUUCCAUAAAGGAAUCACCGAUAUUUGAGAAUUGAUGAUUGGAAAGCCAGGAUUUGGUUUCUUAUUCUCAUCAGAAUCAACGAGAUGUUCGAAGAUUUCUAAGAUGAAUUUCAAGAUCUCUCGGAAGGUGAGAUCGAGGAAAAGGACAAGGAAUGCAUUAAGAUACUGUCUGGUGAAGAUGUCUUAAGUGAGAAUGCUGAGGAAGAUAACCAGAUUGGAGAUAAGGAAGAUAAAGGCCCAGUUACGCUGGAAAUGGACAAAGAGCAGGGGGCUAGGAUGAUGCUGUUUAAGAGCCAGAAUGUAGCAGGUGGAACCAUGAAGAAGAGAAUGGUACAAGGGCUAGUAUCUCCUCGCAAACGUCCUUCGGCUAAAGCGGGUAUCCGACAAGGUGAUGGUUUUAAAAAGGUAGAAGAGACGGUCCCUCAAACCCUUUACCGAGCUCAUCAAAACCCUGAUUUUAUGGAUCGAUCCUUUGAAGAAGAGAAGCUAUGGUGGCAGAUACUGAGAGAGCAGAUGUCCAGAGGCUAUUACCGUUGGUUUCGAUCGGUCUGUUUGGUCAUCAGAAGAUACAUGGAAAAGCUGAAAUACUGGUCUUCAGUGGAGGAAAAUAUUUUGCUCUUGGCCUCAUUAAGCCACAAGUGAAGUCAAACCUUGUUCCUAUAUUGGAAUAAUAAAAAUGUAAGGUGUCCGAAUGGUGAAUGGGAGUUUAAUUGUGGUGUCUCAUUGGUCACAAUUAAUUACCAAAGGAAAGACAGAGAGUGUCGAGGAUAUGGGGUGAAUAAUCAGACUCAGGGGUACGUGAGUCUCACGUCAAAAUUAAUGAUGGUUUAUAAAUGUUUUGGACACUUAUGGUUUCUUCGUAUCCAGCUGUAUUGCUCAACANNNNNNNNNNNNNNNNNNNNNNNNNNNNNNNNNNNNNNNNNNNNNNNNNNNNNNNNNNNNNNNNNNNNNNNNNNNNNNNNNNNNNNNNNNNNNNNNNNNNNNNNNNNNNNNNNNNNNNNNNNNNNNNNNNNNNNNNNNNNNNNNNNNNNNNNNNNNNNNNNNNNNNNNNNNNNNNNNNNNNNNNNNNNNNNNNNNNNNNNNNNNNNNNNNNNNNNNNNNNNNNNNNNNNNUAGUUGUUUUUUCCCCUCUCAAACUCAAUCAAACUGAAAUUAAUAUCAACCCAUUUUUAAAUUAAAACAAGGUUUAAAAACCUUUUCACUAGUUAAUAUAAAAUACCUAAAUUUUUAUAAAAAUAAUUAUGUUAAACUAGACACGAUUGGAAAAGGCAAAUCGAUUGCGAAAACAACAUAAAUAAUAUCCGUGGACAAAAUUUGAACACCAUAUGCAAACUUGUUCAUCAUUGUAUUUUUUUCUUGAUAUAUGUUGACUCACAAAUCUUAGAAAAAUCAUCGCUAAAAUUCUUCAGAGUAAGCCGAUCACUAUAUUGAUAACACCAUAUUUACC